rnacentral:rRNA from 1 species
GACGAACGCUGGCGGCGUGCCUAAUACAUGCAAGUAGAACGCAGUUGCGAACGGGUGAGUAACGCGUAGGUAACUGCCUCAUAGCGGGGGAUAACUAUUGGCAACGAUAGCUCAUACCGCAUACUGUGAGAUGGACCUGCGUUGUAUUAUCUAGUUGGUUAGGUAAAGGCUCACCAAGGCGACGAGUCAUAGCCGACCUGCGAGGGUUAUCGGGCAUACUGGGAAUGGUACACGGCCCAUACUCCUACGGGAGGCAGAAGGAGGGAAUCUUCGGAAAUGGACGGAAGUCUGACCGUGCAACGCCGCUUUAGUGAAGAAGGUUUUCGGAUCGUAAAGCUCUGUUUUUAGAGAAGCGUUAACUAACCAGAAAGGGACGGCUAACGACGUGCCAGCAGCCGCGGUAAUUC